UUGGUCCUCAAAACAACGAAAUAAGGAAGACGAGCAAAGGAUUGUAGCAUUAUUUCCAUUUUACAGGUGAAGAAACUGAGCUCAGAAAGCAGAGUGACCACCCACCUGCUCACGCCUGAUGCGGGUGCCUGAGACCAAGAAGGAAGAGCCUGGAAGGCAGUUCCAGCUGAGCCAGAAAAAAAGCAAAACAAGACAAAUAAUGUAGC